CCGGUAGGGAUAACCGCUGAAGGCAUCUAAGCGGGAAGCCCACCCCAAGAUGAAGUCUCCCAGGGAGUAAUCCCUCUGAAGGUCCGUGGUAGACCACCACGUCGAUAGGCUGGAGGUGUAAGUACAGUAAUGUAUUCAGCUUACCAGUACUAAUAGACCGUGUGCCUUGACCAC
rnacentral:rRNA from 1 species